UGAGUACGAGACGCUAAGGCGUCGAAGUAGUGGAUGUCAUACUUCCAAGAAAAGCUUGCACUGUCAUAAGUAAAAAACGCCUGUACCAUAACCGACACAGGUGGGUAGGUAGAGUAUACUAAGGGGCGCGAGAUAACUCUCUCUAAGGAACUCGGCAAAAUAACUCCGUAACUUCGGGAGAAGGAGUGCCUUAUUCGUAAGGCUGCAGUAACAAGAUCCAAGCAACUGUUUAUCAAAAACACAGGUCUCCGCUAAGUCGUAAGACGAUGUAUGGGGGCUGACGCCUGCCCAGUGCCAGAAGGUUAAAGAAGUCGGUUAGCAUUAGCGAAGCUGGUAACUGAAGCCCUGGUGAACGGCGGCCGUAACAAUAACGGUCCUAAGGUAGCGAAAUUCCUUGUCGGGUAAGUUCCGACCCGCACGAAAGGCGUAAUGAUUUGGAUACUGUCUCGGAGAGGGGCUCGGUGAAAUAGACUUGUCUGUGAAGAUGCGGACUACCUGCACCAGGACAGAAAGACCCUAUGAAGCUUUACUGUAACUUGAAAUUGAAAUUGGACUUUAUUCGCGCAGUAUAGGUGGGAGGUGUUGAUUAUAAUCUUGCGGGAUUAUUGGAGCCAUCAGUGAGAUACCACUCUUGUAAUGUCAGAUUUCUAACUUUGAAUCAUUAUCUGGUCAAAGAACAGUUUCAGGCGGGCAGUUUGACUGGGGCGGUCGCCUCCUAAAUGGUAACGGAGGCGUACAAAGGUUUCCUCUGAACGGGUAGAAAUCGUAUCUAGAGUGUAAAGGCAUAAGGAAGCUUGACUGUGAGACCUACAAGUCGAGCAGGGACGAAAGUCGGUCUUAGUGAUCUGACGGUACUGAGUGGAAAGGCCGUCACUCAACGGAUAAAAGUUACUCUAGGAUAACAGGCUGAUCUCCCCCAAGAGUUCACAUCGACGGGGAGGUUAGGCACCUCGAUGUCGGCUCAUCGCAUCCUGGGGCGGUAGUACGUCCCAAGGGUUGGGCUGUUCGCCCAUGAAAGCGGUACGCGAGCUGGGUUCAGAACGUCGUGAGACAGUUCGGUCCAUAUCCGGUGUAGGCGUUAGAAUAUUGAGAGGAGCCUUCUUUAGUACGAGAGGACCGAGAAGGACAUACCUCUGGUGUACCAGUUAUCGUGCCAACGGUAAACGCUGGGUAGCUAUGUAUGGAGUGGAUAACCGCUGAAAGCAUCUAAGUGGGAAGCCCACCUCAAGAUAAGUAUUCUCAUC
rnacentral:rRNA from 1 species